UACGUAGGGGGCAAGCGUUGUCCGGAAUCAUUGGGCGUAAAGAGCGUGUAGGCGGCCCGAUAAGUCCGCUGUGAAAGUCCAGGGCUCAACCCUGGGAUGCCGGUGGAUACUGUCGGGCUCGAGUCCGGAAGAGGAGUGUGGAAUUCCUGGUGUAGCGGUGAAAUGCGUAGAGAUCAGAAGGAACACCAGUGGCGAAGGCGGCUACCUGGACUGAUACUGACACUGAGGCGCGAAAGCGUGGGGAGCAAACAGG
rnacentral:rRNA from 1 species